rnacentral:piRNA from 1 species
UCUAGGAAUUGAAACAUGAUGGCUGUCUAACU